UUCUCCACCCAUCCCUUUAUGGAGUCCUUGUACCCCGUGAAAAGAGAUAACCCAGUACGGGGGGAAAAAUAAUAGAACUUUUGAACCGCCCUAACCAGACGGAAAAAAGUGACAAACAGACAGGCCGUGGGUGUAAAACCCCAACUCAGGCAGAUAGACUCAAAACAGGACAUGAACAAAAUGGAAUUUGGGGAUAACAUCCGAGGAGUUACCCCGAAGUAUUCAAAGACCUCAAUAAAGAAAGGGGUAAAAGGAAACGGUAGACCGAAUUCUCUCUGCUUCAAGAAAAACACUAUGCGACGACC
rnacentral:lncRNA from 1 species